rnacentral:rRNA from 1 species
UACGUAGGGGACGAGCGUUGUCCGGAAUUACUGGGCGUAAAGGGCGCGCAGGCUGUGCUGCAAGUCAGCUGUUAAAUGUCUGGGCUUAACCCGGGCAUGCGGUUGAGACUGCAGUGCUGGAGUGCUGUAGAGGCAAGUGGAAUUCCCAGUGUAGCGGUGAAAUGCGUAGAUAUUGGGAAGAACACCAGUGGCGAAGGCUGCUGCCUGGAACGUUACUGACGCUGAGGCGCGAAAGCUAGGGGAGCAAACGGG